rnacentral:tRNA from 1 species
AGCGGUUUGGUGUAAUAGUUACAUAGUUGGCUCAUGACCGACUGUUAUUGGUGCAAUUCCUUUAACCGCAU